UACGUAGGGGCCAAGCGUUGUCCGGAUUUAUUGGGCGUAAAGAGCUCGUAGGCGGUUGGGUAAGUCGGGUGUGAAAACUCCAGCUCAACUUGGAGACGCCACCCGAUACUGCUCUGACUUGAGUUCGGUAGGGGAGUGGGGAAUUCCGGGGUGUAGUGGUGAAAUGCGUAGAUAUCCGGAGGAACACCAGUGGCGAAGGCGACUUUCUGGCCUGUUCUUGACGCUGAGGCGCGAAAGCUAGGGGAGCAAACGGG
rnacentral:rRNA from 1 species